rnacentral:rRNA from 1 species
GAUGAACGCUGGCGGCGUGCCUAAUACAUGCAAGUCGAGCGAACGGACGAGAAGCUUGCUUCUCUGAUGUUAGCGGCGGACGGGUGAGUAACACGUGGAUAACCUACCUAUAAGACUGGGAUAACUUCGGGAAACCGGAGCUAAUACCGGAUAAUAUUUUGAACCGCAUGGUUCAAAAGUAAAAGACGGUCUUGCUGUCACUUAUAGAUGGAUCCGCGCUGCAUUAGCUAGUUGGUAAGGUAACGGCUUACCAAGGCAACGAUGCAUAGCCGACCUGAGAGGGUGAUCGGCCACACUGGAACUGAGACACGGUCCAGACUCCUACGGGAGGCAGCAGUAGGGAAUCUUCCGCAAAGGGCGAAAGCCUGACGGAGCAACGCCGCGUGAGUGAUGAAGGUCUUCGGAUCGUAAAACUCUGUUAUUAGGGAAGAACAUAUGUGUAAAUAACUGUGCACAUCUUGACGGUACCUAAUCAGAAAGCCACGGCUAACUACGUG